rnacentral:rRNA from 1 species
AUGCCUGUACCAUAACCGACACAGGUGGGUAAGUAGAGUAUACUAAGGGGCGCGAGAUAACUCUCUCUAAGGAACUCGGCAAAAUAACUCCGUAACUUCGGGAGAAGGAGUGCCUUAUUCUUAAGGUUGCAAUAACAAGAUCCAAGCAACUGUUUAUCAAAAACACAGGUCUCCGCUAAGUCGUAAGACGAUGUAUGGGGGCUGACGCCUGCCCAGUGCCAGAAGGUUAAAGAAGUCGGUUAGCAAUAGCAAAGCUGGUAACUGAAGCCCUGGUGAACGGCGGCCGUAACAAUAACGGUCCUAAGGUAGCGAAAUUCCUUGUCGGGUAAGUUCCGACCCGCACGAAAGGCGUAAUGAUUUGGAUGCUGUCUCGGAGAGGGGCUCGGUGAAAUAGACUUGUCUGUGAAGAUGCGGACUACCUGCACCAGGACAGAAAGACCCUAUGAAGCUUUACUGUAACUUGAAAUUGAAAUUGGACUUUAUUCGCGCAGUAUAGGUGGGAGGCGUUGAUUAUAAUCUUGUGGGAUUAUUGGAGCCAUCAGUGAGAUACCACUCUUGUAAUGUUAGAUUUCUAACUUUGAAUCAUUAUCUGGUCAAAGGACAGUUUCAGGCGGGCAGUUUGACUGGGGCGGUCGCCUCCUAAACGGUAACGGAGGCGUACAAAGGUUUCCUCUGAACGGUUAGAAAUCGUAUCUAGAGUGUAAAGGCAUAAGGAAGCUUGACUGUGAGACCUACAAGUCGAGCAGGGACGAAAGUCGGUCUUAGUGAUCUGACGGUACUGAGUGGAAAGGCCGUCACUCAACGGAUAAAAGUUACUCUAGGAUAACAGGCUGAUCUCCCCAAGAGUUCACAUCGACGGGGAGGUUUGGCACCUCGAUGUCGGCUCAUCGCAUCCUGGGGCGGUAGUACGUCCCAAGGGUUGGGCUGUUCGCCCAUGAAAGCGGUACGCGAGCUGGGUUCAGAACGUCGUGAGACAGUUCGGUCCAUAUCCGGUGUAGGCGCUAGAAUAUUGAGAGGAGCCUUCUUUAGUACGAGAGGACCGAGAAGGACAUACCUCUGGUGUACCAGUUAUCGUGCCAACGGUAAUCGCUGGGUAGCUAUGUAUGGAGUGGAUAACCGCUGAAAGCAUCUAAGUGGGAAGCCCACCUCAAGAUAAGUAUUCUCAUCACGUAAGUGAGUAAGGUCACGGUAAGACUAACCGUUUGAUAGGCAUUAAGUGUAAGUACAGUAAUGUAUGUGCUGAGAUGUCCUAAUAGACCGAGGAC